UACACAUGCAAGUCGAGCGAAGCGAUUCAAAAGAAGUUUUCGGACGGAUUUUGAAUUGACUUAGCGGCGGACGGGUGAGUAACGCGUGGGUAACCUGCCUCAUACAGGGGGAUAACAGUUAGAAAUGACUGCUAAUACCGCAUAAGCGCACAGUGCUGCAUAGCACAGUGCGAAAAACUCCGGUGGUAUGAGAUGGACCCGCGUCUGAUUAGGUAGUUGGUGAGGUAACGGCCCACCAAGCCGACGAUCAGUAGCCGACCUGAGAGGGUGACCGGCCACAUUGGGACUGAGAGACGGUCCAGACUCCUACGGGAGGCAGCAGUAGGGAAUCUUCCGCAAUGGGCGAAAGCCUGACGGAGCAACGCCGCGUGAGUGAUGAAGGUCUUCGGAUCGUAAAGCUCUGUCUUCGGUGACGAUAAUGACGGUAGCCGAGGAGGAAGCCACGGCAAACUACGUGCCAGCAGCCGCGGUGAUACGUAGGUGGCAAGCGUUGUCCGGAAUUACUGGGCGUAAAGCGCGCGUAGACGGCUAGAUAAGUCAGAUGUGAAAGACCCGGGCUCAACCUGGGGGUUGCAUCUGAGACUGUGUAGCUUGAGUGCAGGAGAGGCAAGUGGAAUUCCCAGUGUAGCAGUGAAAUGCGUAGAGAUUGGGAGGAACACCAGUGGCGAAGGCGACUUGCUGGACUGUAACUGACGUUGAGGUGCGAAAGCUAGGGGAGCAAACGGGAUUAGAUACCCCGGUAGUCCUAGCCGUAAACGAUGGGGUACUAGGUGUGGGAGGUAUCGACCCCUUCCGUGCCGGA
rnacentral:rRNA from 1 species